GGUUCCGUAGUGUAGUGGUUAUCACGUUCGCUUUACGCGCGAAAGGUCCCAGUUCGAUCCCGGGCGGAACCA
rnacentral:tRNA from 1 species